UUAGAACUCUCUCUAGUGUUGCUGUGAGCAUGCAGUGAGGUUUGUGUGCAGCAAAAGCCUGCAAGCGGAGGAAGACCCUACCAAUUGCUGUGGCUCUAAGGCCGUUACCCUCUCCAGGGCAAGCUUGACCUCUACCCAUUUGCCAACAUCCUAGCAGAACUGUUUUUACCAGUCAAUGUCUGGUUGUUUCCAUUCCGGCCUCAGAGAUCCUUGAGGAUUUGACCCUUGGUCAACAUUGCUUCAGGGAAUAGCAAAGCAUUUGGAGAAUGCCUGUACUGGUUCCAGAAUGAAUGAAAAUCCAGCUGAGCACUGUGUGCCCUUCCAAGGACCUGAACCUCAUUAUUGAGACUUAUUGAGAACUGAGGAGCCAGUAUGGAUGAGCAACAGCUGCAGCAGAAAACCCUCCCCACCAUCUCUGCCAUGCAAGUCAGACCCCUGGUAGUCCCUGAGGGGGUCCAGGGAAGCUGCCUCUGAGAGGGAGAUUUGCAUGCAGGAAGUUUCUGGAAGAGGGCUCCCAGGAUCCACAAUCCUGAAGGAGCAAAGGGCCAUACAUCUGCACACUGUCUCCAUCUGCCAUCCAAUCUGGCCACCCAAAUUGUUCCACUUAGCAUGGAGAGUCCCUGGGGAGAGUCCCAGGACACAGUCCGAGGCAACACCUGGGUCCCCUCAGCCACUGAUAAGUCCUUUGUAUCUCUGGAUGUUUCCUGAAAAGGCUGGAUGCUUCCAGUUCAGAAUCCCCGCCCCCACUCCCAUCUAAGGAGAUGUCAUAUAAUUCCAGAAGCCAGCCUCACCUUUAAAGCGUCAAGCCCCUUCCCAAACACCUCUCAAAUCGCAAGUCACCUGGAUCCUCAGAGGGCUACACGUCUCAGCCUGCCUGCACCACCCCAGAGGUCCCCAGUGGAUGGAGAAUGCCUAACUGCUUGCGGUACCCAGAUCUCGGCUGAGAUUUCUCCCCUCUGUCCUGCAACCUGAGCUGUGUGUGGUUUAGUCUAAUUCCUUCCGAGUCUGUGCAGCCCUCGCUGGAACCGAUUCUAAGCUAUCUGGUGCCCUCUGCUGGACAACUGCAAUCAUGGCCAAAGUCCAGUUUCCCAGAGUCCCAGGGAAGCAGAGGAAACACCUCCCCAGAUUAUUUUAAUUCUCUCCAAUUCCAACCUGCCCCUAUUUGCACUAAAAGGAUUCCAGGUGUGUUAUGAGGUUUGCAUCAUGUGGUGAGAAGAAUUCAGGACUAUGAACUAGCUCUAAUUCAAUUAAGCCCCGAGCUUUGUGUCCUAGGCAAAUUACUCAUGCUGUUUCCUCAGUUGUAAAAGAGCAAUGACCAACUGCCUUGGAGGUUGGUUACCUGGAUUAAAUAUGUUAAUGGAUGUAGAGCUCCUAAAUGUAGCCAACCCCAAAGAUGGGACACAAUUUUAUCUCUAUGACUCUGUCAUUCAUGAUGUUAUUAAAUUCAAUCUAAAAUUAAAUCUGUCUAUCAUGAUGACUGCACCACCUCAAAAAAUACUGCUGUCACAUGUGGGUCCAUUUCUUCUUUCUGCCCUAGAAUUGUGUCUGUGCGAUAAAAAGGACUUUGUUCCACCCAUAUUCCAACCCCAAUCUGCCUGUAGUAAAGACAGAUGGCAGCUCAAUGGUCUCUAGAAUGAUCAUUCCUAUGUUGCAUUUGCCCAGAGGAUGGGUGGUAAGAAGCACCCUGGACAUUUUCCAUCCUAGCCUGCCCCUCUAGGGGUGUGAAUGUCCACCAGCCACUUAGAGGUCAUAUGGUUCUAGAAAGAACCUUUAGUGGUCCACAGCCAUCCAGCCAGAUGUUCAAUGAGCUGUCAAAUUAUUGGAGCUUGAGCUCUCAGAUGAAGUGUAAGAGUAGAAAGGUCAUGAGGGUCCCAAAGAUGCUGUGUCUAUCUUAUGCUACUAUCCGCCUAUAUGAAUUGACCUCUGAGCCUCCCAAGUGUUCCUCAAUCUACACCUUGUAGGCGGUCUGCCUAUGCCUGCUGCAGCCCUCCCCACCUCCAAGAGUUACCAGAGAGACUCUAUAAGCUGGAAACAGUAAACUAAAGCUCAGAGAUGUAUGGCAGACUCACGUCCCUUUAGACACAACAGUAAACACCCCCCCGCCAAAAAAAAACAUAACUCAUUUUCUCAGCCACCUUUGCAGCUAGGGGUGAAUAUGUGAUACGAAU
rnacentral:lncRNA from 1 species